CACGUAGUUAGCCGGCCCUUAUUCUUCCGGUACCGUCAUCCACACCUAAUAUUAGUAAGUGCGAUUUCUUUCCGGACAAAAGUGCUUUACAACCCGAAGGCCUUCUUCACACACGCGGCAUUGCUGGAUCAGGGUUGCCCCCAUUGUCCAAAAUUCCCCACUGCUGCCUCCCGUAGGAGUCUGGGCCGUGUCUCAGUCCCAGUGUGGCUGAUCGUCCUCUCAGACCAGCUACUGAUCGUCGCCUUGGUGGGCCUUUACCUCACCAACUAGCUAAUCAGACAUCGGCCGCUCCUAUAGCAUGAGGCCUUGCGGUCCCCCACUUUCACCCUCAGUCGUAUGCGGUAUUAGCUAAUCUUUCGACUAGUUACUCCCCCAUACAGGGCACGUUCCGAUGUAUUACUCACCCGUUCGCCACUCGCCAUCAAUCUAGCAAGCUAGAUCAUGCUGCCCGUUUCGACUUGCAUUGUACGUAAGGCCUAAGUCGCCCCGGCCACGGUCGUUUACAAUUCCUA
rnacentral:rRNA from 1 species